UGGGGAAUCUUGCGCAAUGGGCGAAAGCCUGACGCAGCAACGCCGCGUGGAGGAUGAAGGCCCUUGGGUUGUAAACUCCUGUCGGCUGGGAAGAAAUCGGCGGGUGCCAAUACCACCUGCCGUUGACUGUACCAGCAAAGGAAGCCCCGGCUAACUCUGUGCCAGCAGCCGCGGUAAUACAGAGGGGGCCAGCGUUAUUCGGAAUUAUUGGGCGUAAAGGGCGCGUAGGCGGCUUCGCGUGUCUCCCGUGAAAUCCCUCGGCUUAACUGAGGACGUGCGGAAGAAACUGCGAGGCUCGAGUCCGGGAGAGGGGGGUGGAAUUCCCAGUGUAGCGGUGAAAUGCGUAGAUAUUGGGAGGAACACCGGUGGCGAAGGCGGCCCCCUGGACCGGUACUGACGCUGAGGCGCGAAAGCGUGGGGAGCAAACGG
rnacentral:rRNA from 1 species